rnacentral:rRNA from 1 species
AUGUUUUUUUUUUCUUUUGCCGUGGCAAGUUUAAAUAUGAAUUUGCCAUGGCAAUUUUUCUUGUUCAUGGCAAAUUUAGUUUACGUGAAUUUCGCCGUGGCAAGUUUUGAUGCGAAUUUGCCAUGGCAAGUUUCUUGUUCAUAUUUGAAUUUCCAACUUUUUGUGUUCUUCACACACGAUAAAUUCAUCAUACAAAACACGCAAUUCUUUGAUACCAAUCUGCCAUGGCAAAUCUCUUUGUUCAUACUUGAUUUUCAAUUUUUUGUGUUUUUUCUCUCACACGACAAAAUUAUCCUUCAAAACACGGCAAUUUUAAUUAAAUUUCAUGGCAAUUUUAAUUUAAAAUGCCAUUGCAUUUUUUAUCUUUUAUUUGUCAUGUCAAUUUUGUGUGUUCUUUUCACAUGA